AUGGUUUGGUAUGUGCUUACUAAUUGUCCUGAAGUAGAGGAGUACAUGGAGGUUUGUCGAGAAGAAAUACGAAGGAGAGGUGUCAUUAACAUUGAGCACACACUUAAGAAAGAAUUCCCUACAUGGUUCGAAAAGCAUAUAUAUACUUUAGGAGAACAACAUGUUUCAGCGGAUUUGUACUCACUAGCAUGUGGGCCAAACAAGCGGAUAGUGGUAUACUCUGCCUGCAAUGUGAAUGGUGUUCGGUAUCACACCUUUGAUCGUGAAAAGAAAAGAAAAACUCAAAAUUCAGGAAUCAUGGUGAAGGAAAUUGUCAAUAAUGUAGAGACUCAGUACUAUGGUGUUCUAAAAGAAGUUCUGGAGUUGCGGUACCCCAAAAACAAGCAUGGAGAAAGGUCGAUCUUUUUGUUUCGUGGUGAUUGGUUUGAUCUCCAUGGCAAGGCGACCGGCAUGAAAGAUGAUGGUUACUUCAAAAGUCUUAAUGUUAAGGCGCUUCGAUACAAGAAGGAUCCUUUCAUCUUGGCUUCUCAAGCAGAACAAGUGUUCUACAUGGAGGACACAAAAUAUGGAAAGGACUGGAAUGUGGUGCAGACUUUCAGUCAUAGACAUUUGUACGAUGUCCCUGAACUGGAGACAGGCGAGCUCAAUGCUACAGAUGCAUACCAGGAAGAAAUGCCCUCGACAACUUCCACUGUGAAGGAUAUUGAUCAGUUGUUGGACACUUAUAGCCGUGAUGACGAAGAAGGCACGCCUGUUCAUGCUAGUAUUGUUUACGAUCUUCUGAAGGAUGACAACAACUAUGAUGAAGAUAGUGGUACUGAUGAUGAUGGACAGGAAGAUGGUGCAUUGAGUGAGAAUGAGCAUUCAAGUGAUGAUGACUAG
rnacentral:rRNA from 1 species